CAAUAGCGUAUAUUAAAGUUGUUGCGGUUAAAAAGCUCGUAGUUGGAUUUCUGCUGAGGACGAUCGGUCCGCCCUCUGGGUGAGUAUCUGGCUCGGCCUUGGCAUCUUCUUGGAGAACGUUACUGCACUUGACUGUGUGGUGCGGUAUCCAGGACUUUUACUUUGAGGAAAUUAGAGUGUUUCAAGCAGGCGCACGCCUUGAAUACAUUAGCAUGGAAUAAUAAGAUAGGACCUUGGUUCUAUUUUGUUGGUUUCUAGAGCUGAGGUAAUGAUUAAUAGGGAUAGUUGGGGGCAUUCGUAUUUAACAGUCAGAGGUGAAAUUCUUGGAUUUGUUAAAGACGGACUACUGCGAAAGCAUUUGCCAAGGAUGUUUUCAUUGA
rnacentral:rRNA from 1 species